rnacentral:lncRNA from 1 species
GUGCCUUCAUCCGCGCCCUUCUGCCCUGACGUCUUUUUCCAAAAUUAUCUUGUGCCGUUUUGGUAAAAUUUUGUUUCAUCGAUUUCUGAUCUCCAAGUUAAUUACAUAUAUGACACCUGUGUGAUUGCCCCCAGGUUAAUCAUGUCAUUACAAUCAAUUACAAUGAUAAAGACUUCAAAGGUGUUAAUAACUAGGUAAUUUAAUUAGGACAAUGUAUCUUUUUGUCAUACUUUUGAUGAAUGUGUCAGCGAGUGUGUUUAGCUUGGGUCGGCAUUUUCGAUCUCCAAGUCACAAUGGAAGAGCGUAUAUAAAUGAAGACUUUCAUGACUUUAGAAUUGAAUUUAAGUCAUCAAAAUAAAACUAUGCCUUUACAGAAAUGCCUUCCAUCUCAACUUGUUGUUAGCGACAAGCACAGUUUUUAAUUAACCCAAACGUGGUGGAAAUUGAUUUUGGAGUUACUUCCCCUGUUUUAGCUUAUUACAAAUUUGUGCUCUAAAAAUAUUAUCUAGUAUCAAAAAAAGGAAUAAAUUACCAAUUGAAUAUAUAAUAACAUAAUAAUGUUACCUUAAAGAUAUUAACUGUCUUUGAACAUAUUAAAAAAUAUAUAUUGCAAUUUCUACUUGAUAAUUAUACUUUUAGCAAUCCAUGUUCUAAACAUUGUUAAAUUAGUAAUGCUCUCAAUUUCAGAUGAUAUGUAUUAAAAGCUAUAAUUCCUAUAUAGAUAAAAAAAAACACAUAUUCUUUGAUAAUGGGUAGAGUGAAGUUAAACUGUAAAAACAUAAUAUGUUGAUGAAGAUGUACUAUAUCAUUCAUAACUACACAAACAAUGAAAUAAAGACUAUAGUUGAAAAGCAUCUUUAUUUUAAAAAAAAAACAUAUACAGUAAAAAAAAAAAGAGAUUCGUUAACUCGUGAUACACACAGAAACGUAGACAAAAAAAUGAGCAGUGCCUUUUCUUAUCAUAAAAAGUGCCCUGCCCUCCACUGGCACC